GUGCACUGAUUGAGCAUGAUUCAAGCCA
rnacentral:piRNA from 1 species